UGGACACGUCGGGCGGUCCGGGCCGCUGCCGCGCCUGCCGCACCCGACCGGGACCCACCCCCGGCAGCCCCUCCGGGCUUCCUCGGGGAAGCCCCGGCCCACUCCUCCUGCCGUCGGGCUCUUGCCCGGCCCUGCCAAGGCGCGUCCCGGGCUGGCCUCGCCUCCCCCGACGUGCUGUGGCGGGUCUGGGCCUGAGGCAGCUGGAGGGGCUUGGUUCCAGUACUCUGUGUCUCUGUGUGUGUGUGUGUGCGUGUGUGUGUAUCCCCACGGGUGAUAGGGACGUCCGGGUGGGGCCGUGAGCCGGUCUCCGCUCCCCUCGACGCUUAAGGGCGAGCCGAAGCCAGGUGAGUCGGGGAGGAGCGGAGACCCCUGCGGGAGCCAUCCCGGUGCGAUUAACCCUCCUCUCCCUCUGCUUUUCCCCGCAGGUGAGGCCGCACCGUCGAGGCCGGAGGCGGCUCGAGAGCAGCGGGGGCCGCAGGCAGAUUCCUCAGGACAGAUAUCUUCUGCAAGUCCUUUCAGAGGAGAUCUACCAGUGAGAUGUCCACAAUAGCAGAUUGAAAAGGAUGAUAAAAUAAAAUGGCAAGGACUAUGUGGAACCAAACAGCAACUACUGGCUGUCUUCUUGUAGAAAACCCUUGCACUGCUCAAGCAUCUCUACUCUAUUCCUCCCUUUUCUUCAUGCCCCCUAAGAGUUCACUGGUCACACAAAGAUGCACAACAAUAGUGAAGUAUGGG
rnacentral:lncRNA from 1 species